rnacentral:rRNA from 2 species
GGCCUAACACAUGCAAGUCGAGCGGCAGCACAGAGGAACUUGUUCCUUGGGUGGCGAGCGGCGGACGGGUGAGUAAUGCCUGGGAAAUUGCCCUGAUGUGGGGGAUAACCAUUGGAAACGAUGGCUAAUACCGCAUGAUGCCUACGGGCCAAAGAGGGGGACCUUCGGGCCUCUCGCGUCAGGAUAUGCCCAGGUGGGAUUAGCUAGUUGGUGAGGUAAUGGCUCACCAAGGCGACGAUCCCUAGCUGGUCUGAGAGGAUGAUCAGCCACACUGGAACUGAGACACGGUCCAGACUCCUACGGGAGGCAGCAGUGGGGAAUAUUGCACAAUGGGCGCAAGCCUGAUGCAGCCAUGCCGCGUGUAUGAAGAAGGCCUUCGGGUUGUAAAGUACUUUCAGUCGUGAGGAAGGUUGUAGUGUGAAUAGCACUAUGAUUUGACGUUAGCGACAGAAGAAGCACCGGCUAACUCCGUGCCAGCAGCCGCGGUAAUACGGAGGGUGCGAGCGUUAAUCGGAAUUACUGGGCGUAAAGCGCAUGCAGGUGGUUUGUUAAGUCAGAUGUGAAAGCCCUGGGCUCAACCUAGGAGUUGCAUUUGAAACUGACAAGCUAGAGUACUGUAGAGGGGGGUAGA